rnacentral:tRNA from 1 species
GGUGUUGUGGCUCAGUGGUAGAGCGCUCAUCUAUCAUGUGCAAGGCCCUGGGUUUGAUCCUCAGCACCACAU